UACGGAGGAUGCAAGCGUUAUCCGGAUUUAUUGGGUUUAAAGGGUGCGUAGGCGGAUAUGUAAGUCAGCGGUGAAACUCACAGGCUCAACCUGUGCCGUGCCGUUGAAACUGUGUAUCUGGAAUGCGGAUGCUGUGGGAGGAAUGUGUAGUGUAGCGGUGAAAUGCAUAGAUAUUACACAGAGCACCGAUUGCGAAGGCAUCUCACAAAGCCGUUAUUGACGCUGAGGCACGAAAGUGUGGGGAUCAAA
rnacentral:rRNA from 1 species